rnacentral:rRNA from 1 species
GAUGAACGCUGGCGGCGUGCCUAACACAUGCAAGUCGAACGAAGCAAUUUAACGGAAGUUUUCGGAUGGAAGUUGAAUUGACUGAGUGGCGGACGGGUGAGUAACGCGUGGGUAACCUGCCUUGUACUGGGGGACAACAGUUAGAAAUGACUGCUAAUACCGCAUAAGCGCACAGUAUCGCAUGAUACAGUGUGAAAAACUCCGGUGGUACAAGAUGGACCCGCGUCUGAUUAGCUAGUUGGUAAGGUAACGGCUUACCAAGGCGACGAUCAGUAGCCGACCUGAGAGGGUGACCGGCCACAUUGGGACUGAGACACGGCCCAAACUCCUACGGGAGGCAGCAGUGGGGAAUAUUGCACAAUGGGCGAAAGCCUGAUGCAGCGACGCCGCGUGAGUGAAGAAGUAUUUCGGUAUGUAAAGCUCUAUCAGCAGGGAAGAAAAUGACGGUACCUGACUAAGAAGCCCCGGCUAACUACAUGCCAGCAGCCGCAGUAA